UCUUACCUGCCCAGUGACAAUGUUAAACGGCCGCGGUAUUUUGACCGUGCGAAGGUAGCGCAAUCACUUGUCUUUUAAAUGAAGACCUGUAUGAAUGGUGAAACGAGGGCUUAACUGUCUCCCUUUUCUAGUCAAUGAAAUUGAUCUGCCCGUGCAGAAGCGGACAUAACAAUACAAGACGAGAAGACCCUUUGGAGCUUAAGAUAUAAAGAUCAUCUAUGUCAAUGGGCCCCAACACGGCAACAAACUAAAUAACAAUUGAUCUUAAUCUUCGGUUGGGGCGACCACGGGAGAAAAUAAAGCUCCCACGCGGACUGGGGUAAACCCUAAAACUAAGAAAAACAUUUCUAAGUAACAGAACUUCUGACCAUUAAGAUCCGGCUAAACGCCGACCAACGGACCAAGUUACCCUAGGGAUAACAGCGCAAUCCCCUUUCAGAGUCCAUAUCGACAAGGGGGUUUACGACCUCGAUGUUGGAUCAGGACAUCCUAAUGGUGCAGCCGCUAUUAAGGGUUCGUUUGUUCAACGAUUAAAGUCCUACGUGAUCUGAGUUCAGACCGG
rnacentral:rRNA from 1 species